rnacentral:hammerhead_ribozyme from 1 species
AUCCUGAUAAUGAGUCUCGAAUAGGACGAAACGCGUGUCUUGGAU